CAGUAGUUUUGUGUUAAUGGUGUCGGCUCGAAUUUCGUUUCAAUCAAAACCCUUUGAGUGACCACAAAAACAUUUUCUCCUCCACACACAACAACUAUCAAUCAUGUUCCUUCCAUCAAGAAAAUCCAUAACCGUAUCCAUCAUUAUCCUCCUCCUGAAUCAAACAACAACAACAUUAGUCUCAUCAAAAUGCACUUGUGAUGACAAUUCAAAUGACAACAACAAUAAUGUUUCUGAGGCACUAAAGUACAAACUAAUAGCCAUGACAACAACACUAGUUGCUAGCAUAAUUGGUGUGUGUCUUCCAAUCAUGGCGAAGAACUACAGAUACCUUAACCCAGAGAAUGAUUUCUACUUCUUGGUGAAAUCAUUUGCUGCUGGUGUGAUCCUAGCAACAGGGUUCAUCCACAUUCUUCAUGAUGCAUUUGAGAAUCUAACAAACCCUUGUAUUGGUGAAAAGCCUUGGGGGUUGUUUCCGUUUUCUGGGUUUGUGGCAAUGCUUGCAGCAAUUGGGACACUCAUCAUGGAAGCUUUGCUUACUGGCUACCAUAAAAGGUCUGAAUUGAUGAAAGCUCAGCCUCUGGAAGAUGAGGAUGAAGCAGUUCAUCAUCAUCAUCAUGGUGCUGCUGCUGGUAACGUUCUUAACCCUGCUCUUCCCUCGUCAAACAGAUUAGAUUCGCCGGAACAUUCGCCCGAUCAUCUUCGAAAUACUAUAGUGUCUCAGAUUUUGGAGUUAGCUAUUGUUGCGCAUUCAAUCAUUGUUGGGGUGUCUCUUGGGGUGUCCCAAAGUCCUAACACAAUCAAGCCUCUGGUAGCUGCAUUGAGUUUUCAUCAAUGCUUUGAAGGCAUGGGACUUGGUGCCUGCAUUUCCCAGGCGCAAUUUAAAAAUUAUACAGUUGUAAUUAUGGUACUAUUCUUUUGCUUCACAAUCCCAACCGGAAUUGGGGUUGGUAUUGGUAUAUCAAAAAUCUACAACGAAGGCAGUCCAAAGGCUUUAAUAGUUGAAGGGAUUCUGCUAUCAGCAUCCGCAGGGAUUCUAAUUUACAUGGCUCUUGUUGAUCUUCUUGCUUCCGACUUUAUGAACCCUAAAAUGCUAAGGAGUCUUAGGCUCCAACUUGCUGCAAUUCUUGCACUUCUUGUAGGAGUCAUUUGUAUGUCGCUCUUGGUCUUGUGGGAAGGAGCAUAGCCACAUUGUAACUUCAACUAUUAAACUUCCAAAAUAGAGGAACAUGAUGCAUAUAUACAUAAAUAAAUGGUGGCCAAUGCAAUAACACGAGGAUGCCUAUGAAAUCGCCACUUAACUUGUCCCGUGACCAAUGGGAUGUACAAAUGAAUGAGCUGUGUGGAAAUUGACCACGAGGAUCUGACAUUAUCAUCCCACACUAUGCAGGUUUCUGACUCAAGCAUCACGCAAGGAAUGCUGAGAGUCAGUUCGAAUUUAAACAGAGAGGGUAGGGGUUAAUUUUAUUUCAGAGGGCGAGAAGGCAUUGUGAUAAAAAAAAGGAUACGAAAGGAGGAAGAGUUCUGCCAUCAUCCCCGUUCUGACUUACUCUUUCGUUGGUGUUUUUGCGUUGUUUCUGGUUUUGUUGUUGUCUCUGCCACUAUAUAUUCUUCACCAAUUCUCCCAUCUCUCCAACUCUUGAUUCCUUAUGUACCUCACAUCCUCCAAUUCUUGGAUAGCAUAUACAUGAAAAAAGACAUGUACGAAAGUCAAAAAUAUUUUCUUAUUUGAGUGUUUUCCUUUUGUAAUACAAUAAUCAAUUUUAAUGCCUUUUGUUUUCUUA